rnacentral:rRNA from 1 species
UACGUAGUGGGCUAGCGUUGUCCGGAAUUAUUGGGCGUAAAGCGCGUGUAGGCGGUUCGGUAAGUCCGCUGUGAAAGUCGGGGGCUCAACCCUCGAAUGCCGGUGGAUACUGUCGGACUAGAGUACGGAAGAGGCGAGUGGAAUUCCUGGUGUAGCGGUGAAAUGCGCAGAUAUCAGGAGGAACACCGAUGGCGAAGGCAGAUCUCUGGGCCGUAACUGACGCUGAGGAGCGAAAGCAUGGGGAGCGAACAGG